rnacentral:rRNA from 1 species
UACGGAGGGGGCAAGCGUUACUCGGAAUUAUUGGGCGUAAAGGGCGCGUAGGCGGUCGUGCGCGUCGGAGGUGAAAUCCCCGGGCUUAACCCGGGAGCUGCCUCCGAUACGGCAUGGCUUGAGUCCGGGAGAGGGGAGCAGAAUUCCCAGUGUAGCGGUGACAUGCGUAGAUAUUGGGAGGAAUACCAGUGGCGAAGGCGGCUCCCUGGACCGGUACUGACGCUGAGGCGCGAAAGCGUGGGUAGCAAACAGG